rnacentral:rRNA from 1 species
UACGUAGGUGGCAAGCGUUGUCCGGAUUUACUGGGCGUAAAGAGCGCGCAGGCGGCCAAGUCAGUCGAAUGUGAAAGCCCCCGGCUUAACUGGGGAGGGUCAUUCGAUACUGCUCGGCUCGAAGACAGGAGAGGGAAGUGGAAUUCCCGGUGUAGUGGUGAAAUGCAUAGAUAUCGGGAGGAACACCAGUGGCGAAGGCGACUUUCUGGCCUGUUCUUGACGCUGAGGCGCGAAAGCUAGGGGAGCAAACGGG